rnacentral:lncRNA from 1 species
UCAUUAGAAAACAUCCACAAUCCCUAAGUGCUGCUUGCACCCACAUUUUAAAAUGGCAUAUAUGGGGGGGAUGUAGCAGAAAAGAGGAGUGAGUGAAUAAAAUGUCAUCUAACUUGAAAGAAAUUGUCUUGUACAUUCUGAGGGAGACUCAGUGGUACUUUAGGGAGCUUUCCACUGUGAAGUAAAAGUAUUCGACAAAAUUUCAGGAUUUCUGAAAUUAAUAUCUAAGAAAUCCUAAUCCUGUAAACAUUCAUUUAUAUAUCCUGCAAAUAUUUUAUUUUACUUUACUUUAUUUUGUUCUAUUUUUUAUCUUUUCUAGGGCCAUACCAGCGGCAUAUGGAGGUUCCCAGGCUAGGUGUCUAAUUGGAGCUGUAGCCGCCAGCCUUCGCCAGAGCCACAGCAACGUGAGACCUGAGCCGCAUCUGCAACUUACACCAUAGCUCACAGCUAUGCAGGAUCCCUAACCCACUGAGUGAGGCCAGGGAUUGAACCUGCAACCUCAUUGUUCCUAGUUGGAUUUGUUAACCACUGAGCCACAAUGGGAACUCCCUCCCUGCAAAUAUUUUAAAAAGUAGUUGAUAAUAACCACAAAUUUUUGUUUCUACACUAAAGGCUAAAACACAAUAGAAAAAGAGGAAAUAGUUUCUGUGGUCAUUUUUUUUUUCUUUUCUUAUCUGGAGGACAGUGUAUGGAGUUAACUAUCAACAUUAAAAAUCACAGUAAUUAGGGAGAUCUCUCUGAGGAACAGUGGAAAUAAAUCCAGCUAGGAACCAUGAGGUUGCAGGUUUGAUCCCUGGCCUCUCUCAGUGGGUGAAGUAUCUGGCUGGUAAGUAUACCAUGAGCUAUGGUAUAGGUCGCAGACUCGGCUUGGAUGUGAUGUUGCUGUGGCUGUGGUACAGACCAGCAGCUGUAGCUCUGAUUGGACUGAUAGCCUGGGAACCGUCAUAUGCUGCGGGUAUGGCCCUAAAAAGCAAAUAAAUAAAUAAUAAUUAAAUCCUAUGUAGUUGCUUGAUGUGACUUUAAAAAAUGUUAAGAAUGUGAUGAACCAGAACCAUCAGCACAAUGUCCAAAAAUUACGGCUUGACUCAGUGAAAAAAGGUGUUCAGUUCAGCUGUAGAGUAACCUAGACUCCACACAACAAAGAAAGUAAAUAAAUACAUAAAUAAACAAAAGUGGAUGCAUGUUCCAUAGCUUAGUGAGGAGAAUCAGGUAUGUUUCUCUUGUAUUUAUUUUUUUAUUAACCACACUUCACCUUUGCCUGAUUAUUAAUCAACUAGGCACAAUUUAUCUGUGUUAAUUUAGAAAUUAACAUGGAUUAUUUUAAAAAAAUGUCUACGUACAUGUCAAUAAUACUUUACCGCAUAUAAUUUUUGUAUGUUUGUUUUCAAUCCUGUCAGAUUUUUUUAAAAACUCUGUUUGGUAACUAAUGCCUAAUGAAAAGCAGGAUAUGGUAUCUUCACAUGUUGGGAAAACAUACCACCAUGAGAUACAUAUUUGAUGAAACAGUUUUUGAGAGCAAUGCAUAUGCCAAUUUCUGUACUCACAAACUGAUGCUCUUAAUUCCUUUCUGGUGUAUUUAUUCACAGCUCAUCAGUCUAUAGGUAGAUUUUUACAAUGAAUUAAAUUUUUCAAGCAUAAGGGGGGGAGUCAAAGAAUUUAAGAGAUUCUGACUUUGUUCAGAAAGCCUGUACCUUCUGUAUUUAAAACAAUCUAAAGUGAUAUAAGUAGUAUUUGUUUUUGGCUGAUCCAUAUCAAGCAAACUUUAGAAUUAUUGAAAUGUUUUUGAGAUUGAAAACACAGCUUUUCAAGACAAUCUGCUGACCCUCACUUUGGGUACCACUUUCCCUUUCAACAUUCCCAACCUUCUCAUUAUGAAAGGAGUGGUUCCUAUCAAGUGGGGUAGCCUCAGACUUUAUUCAAGACUGGGAAUAUUGUCCAUUAAUGGUGACUCCCAUGUCUGAGCGGUUGUUAAUUAUUUUCAAUUUCUGCUCUGAUUGUUGACUAAUUGCUAAACAAGACAACUUAGAUUUAGCUAAGUGAUACUAAAAGUGUGGUGUCUUUUUUUUUUUGCAGUGGUUUUACUUUUUCUGUGUUUUAUCACUUUGUGAUAGUCUCUCAGCCAGCAAAUCGAAACAAGAGAAUUUAAAAGGUGUAUAGCACUGUUAUGCCUGACACAUGGUAAGUGGUGGAAAAAAAUUCUCAGAGUUACUAUUAUAUUUUCUAUUGCACUAAAAAUAAAACAUUUUAAAACAGAAGUGAACCCUUGUCAGUAUCAUUAUGAAAACUGUCAGUUCUAUUUCUCAAGAGCAGAAGUGGAUCAGGGUGCUCAUUGAAUCUUAGAAGAGGACAGCGUCUCUCACCAAUCUACCUACGGCCCAAAGGAUGGGGAGACUUUUAAACACAGUGUCACACAGUACCGGAGACUCAGGAGCAGAACUCAGAGAACAGUUCUGCAUACAGUGGGUAUAGAUUAUUCUAUUUAUGCUGAUAUUUUAUCACUAAGGUGUUUAUUAACCAUGCAUACAUUAGAAACAGAGGUCAAUAUGCCUGAAGGCACUCAUAAUAAGGAAUGUAACUUAAAUCUACAAUGAGAUAUCAUUUUUUUAUAAACAGACUGAUUGUAGAGUAAAAGAAAAAAAAAGGGUUCAUAAUUGAGUGAAGUUGAGGGUAGAUGGAAUAUAUACUGGGGGUGGGGAGUAGUGGUCCCUGUAGGGACUGAUGUUUACUUAAACGAAUGCACACCCAGAAAAAAAAACAAACCUAAAAACCAGAAAGUCUCAUAAUAUACUAUGUGAUUGAGGAUACAAGGAAUUCUUUUUUUUUUUUUUUUCUUCCCAAACCAUACCCAAGACAUGUGGAAGUUCCCAGGCAAGGACUCCAACCCUCAUGCCACAGCAGUGACAGCACUAGAUCCAUAACCCACUAGGCCACCAGGGAAAUCCCUCAGGGCAUUCUUAUACAUUAUAGGUUUAUAAAUUGAUGUAACACAAAAACAUUAAAUAGAUUAAUACUAUCACCUUGACCAUUUAAUUUCACUUACGGAAUCUUUCACAUUGGUAUGUUCACAUAUUAAAGCAAUUAUAUACAUACAAGUCAAAUUAUUACAGCUUUUUUGGUAAUAGCAAAAAUUUAGAAGAAAUAAAAAUGUCUAGUAAUAGGAAACAUUCUAUGAAGCAUUUAUAUAAAGGAAUACAAUGCAUAAAGAAAUGUCACUUUAGGUAUACUGCUAUAGAUAGAUUUCCAAAUAAUAUUUUAAGUGACUAAAGCGAGUUGAUGAAGAGUGCUUAGAGUAUACUAGUUUGAAGAAAGAAAGAAAACCUGUACACUCUGACAGAUAUAUGUGUUUGUGUAUAUAUGUGUGUAUAUUUAUAUAUACAUACAGAUUUUGUGUAUACAUGUAAUGAAGACAUAAGAAAUCAUUAACAGUAGCUGCCUUUUGGUGUAGGGAGAUAAACAGUCAGGAAAUAGGAGAAGUAAUUUUAUCCUUUUAAAAGUUUGUACAAUGUGUUAGGGCUACUUAUCAAAAGUAAUUUUAAACUAAAAAUUAUUAUCUGCUAAUUGUAUAGAACCCAGUAGGGAUGAUAGAAUAUAAUUUCAUACAAUACACUCUCUGACUUCUUCCUUAACUAUUACUAUGACCAAAAUCAAUAAAAAUGGGGACUUCUGUCAAGUAUUUUAUAUGCACUAGGAUCUCUUGUGCUUUUCAGAGUAAAAAAAUUACUUUCAAUUCAAUUUAGGGCCUUAACAAUUUAGACUUAACAAUGAAUUCUGUACUUUCCUUAAACAAUUCCUGCAAGCACUAUGCUAAAAUCUAGGAUGAUGCUUGGAUAAUCAAUGCUUCUGGGAUUUAUGUCCAUUCUCAUUUUUCUGAAAAAAGUUGCUAGCAGCUUGCAAACAGAAUGUUUGCUGUUUUGUUUGAUAUUGGGCUGGCAUUUUGCACUAUAUAUCUGUAUACUUACUUUUAAAUGACAUUGCAGAAUUUGGCAGCAAAGAGGUUUAUUUUUGUAUAAAAGCAACAUAUUUAUAUAUUAUUGAAAGACCUUUUGCUACUCUAUGUAUUGUUUUUUAAAAACAAAAAGCAAGCUUUGAGCAAUUUGUGCUUGACAUAGAAGCAACAAAAUAAAUUUAAAGAAGUAUGGUAAGGAAAAUAAAGUGGCAAUGUUAAAGAAAAAAUUACUCAUGACACCUGAAGAUGGAAAGGCAGAUUUAUUAAAGAGAGGCAUGGAAAUGGGUGUAGGGAGCACUGCAAUGGGAUCUUGCAGUGGGCAAGAGAGAGUCAACUCACCUCAGGACACCGGACCAGCAAGUGGGAAUAUAGAGCCAAGAAGCAAGGUAGGGGAGUUCUUGUCAUGGUGCAGCAGAAACAAAUCCGACCAGGAACCAUGAGGUUGCGGGUUCAAUCCCUGGCACUACUCAGUGGGUUAAGGAUCCAACAUUGCCGUGAGCUGUGAUAUAGUUCGCAGACAUGGCUUAGAUCUUGCAUUACUGUGGCUGUGGCAUAGGCUGGCAGCUGUAGCUCCAAUUCAAUCCCUAGCCUGGGAACCUCCAUAUGCUGCAGGUGUAGCUCUAAAAAGGGGGGAAAAAAAGAAGCAGCAGCAGCAGCAGCAAGGUGGGUGUCAGUAAUAGAUUUUACUUAUGGAAUUAUACAUGAUUAUAUCUGUCUUCAAGCCAAUUAUAAAUUUUACUAACAUCUGUGAGAAUAAAAGAGAUAAAAUAUUCCCUAAUGGAAAUACACUGCCUAUGAUUGCAAAGUCAAUGACCCUGACUCAAAUAAAUAAGGGCAGGGGGACUAUUUUAUAGGUAAAUGGAAAGACAAUCUAUCUGUGUUUCCUUGGAGAAUAGCCCCUUCAAGUGCCACUUUUGGAAAGUUCUACCGCUAAAGACUCCGGCUAAGGGCACAUGGUUAUCUGCAAUCCUCAGAUUUGUACCUCCUCACAGCACUCAGAGAAAGUAGUUUCUGGUCAGAGGCUGCAUAGAACAUGACAGUGACCUUGGAACAUAGUAGUCAGGCAGCCAGAAGGAUUACAGGUGAUCUUAGACAGUAAGGAACUACUGCCAGAGGGAUUAUUUGCAUUAUUGAACAGCCUGAAAAUACCAAUGGGUCUUUUAAUAGAGUUGGCAUCAUAAAUAUUUGUUAAAUGGAAAAAAUGGAGGAAGGAAGGAACCAUGACAUGAAUGAAGGAAGAAAGGAAGAAAAAAAGAGAGACGGAAUAAAAGUUGAAGGGGGGGGGCAGUCUAAGAAUUCAAGUCUAGCAAAAGUAAAGCAAAUACAUAGAAGAAAAUAAUGCAAUAUAAUUAUGACAUUUGAUAGUAACUCAGACUCAGUAAUAACUUCAUAC